rnacentral:tRNA from 62 species
GCGGAUGUAGCCAAGUGGAUCAAGGCAGUGGAUUGUGAA